rnacentral:tRNA from 1 species
UAGACAAGAGCUUGAUAAAAGCAUUUUAUUUACACUAAAAAGUUAACAGUGAGAUUCUGUUUUGUUUAA